rnacentral:rRNA from 1 species
AUUGAACGCUGGCGGCAGGCCUAACACAUGCAAGUCGAGCGAGCGGCGGACGGGUGAGUAAUGCCUGGGAAUUGCCCAGUCGAGGGGGAUAACAGUUGGAAACGACUGAUAAUACCGCAUACCAUCAGAUUGCCCAGAUGGGAUUAGCUUGUUGGUGGGGUAACGGCUCACCAAGGCGACGAUCCCUAGCUGGUCUGAGAGGAUGACCAGCCACACUGGAAAUGAGACACGGUCCAGACUCCUACGGGAGGCAGCAGUGGGGAAUAUUGCACAAUGGGCGCAAGCCGGAUGCAGCCAUGCCGCGUGUAUGAAGAAGGCAUUCGGGUUGUAAAGUACUUUCAGCGGGGAGGCGUUACCCGCAGAAGAAGCACCGGCUAACUCCGUGCCAGCCGCCGCGGUAAUAC